rnacentral:rRNA from 1 species
GACUCUCGGCAACGGAUAUCUCGGCUCUCGCAUCGAUGAAGAACGUAGCGAAAUGCGAUAAUUGGUGUGAAUUGCAGAAUCCCGUGAACCAUCGAGUCUUUGAACGCAAGUUGCGCCCGAAGCCGUCAGGCCGAGGGCAGGCGUGCCUGGGUGUCACGC